GUGCCCGAUGAAAAAAGGGGCAUCGCGGUUUAGAAUUAAUUUUUGCAAUUUUGCGAAUAGGGGGGAAGCAUUUGUAGAGGGACGUAUGUAAGGCACUGUCUCUAAUAGGGGAACAGAGGUUGCUACAUAGGCACUGUCAGUGUAAAGGUUAAAGGGGGCAUCUAUUAAAAGCUCAAAAACUUUGAUUAUUGCAGUUAGUUCAACAAGUUGUGCAGAAGAGAGGUCUGUCUGUAUUCGAGUAACUUGCCCAUUAAUACUGAAAGCGGCUAUACCGGAGGAGGACCCAUCAGAGAACACCAUUACGGCCCCAGCAAUUGGCGUGGUUUUAGUCCUCUUGGGAAAGACAACCGGGGUCUUUUGAAGGAACUGGACUAAUCUGUCUGCAGGGUAAUGAUUGUCUAUUGUCCCUUGGAAGGAGGUGCAGCUAAUUGCCCAAUCAUCAUCAUGUUGAAUAAGCCAUUGUAAUUGAGAUGUAUUGUAUGGGAGGGUUAUAACUUCAGGGUCUCUCCCAAACAACUUGAGAGCUGCCUCUCGGCCUAAACGUAAGAGGGCAGCAACUAAUUGAGGAUAGGUAGCUAAGACUCUAGGGGGGGAGGCUGGCAAAUGAACCCAAAAUAGUGGAUGGUUUUGCCAAAGGACUCCUGUAGGGGAGAAGGGGGUAGGGAAAAUGAGCAGCCACAAACUUAGAUGUGGAGAGAAGUAGCUAAUGGUCUGUUCAGAAAUAGCCCGCUCUACAAUGGUUAAUGCCCUUUGUGCUUCUGAUGAAAGCGAGCGGGGGGAGGAAGGAUCAGGGUCUCCACGUAGGACAUCAAACAAGGGCUUUAACUCUCCGGUGGUCAGCUUUAGAUAAGGCCUGAGCCAGUUGAUGUCUCCUAGCAGACGCUGAAAAUCAUUAAGAGUGUUUAAGGAGCUUCUCUUUAACUGAAUUUUUUGAGUGAGGAUUUUAUUAGAAAAUAAUUCAAAGCCUAAAAAAAGUUGGGGGGGGUGGACCUGGACUUUUUCUGGGGAAAUUUGUAGUCCUCGAUCUCGGAGGGCAGUGACUAGCUGUUGACUGGCCGCAUAGAGCUGUUGCUGGUCAGGACCGGCAAGAAGAAUAUCAUCUAUAUAAUGGAUAAUAUACAAAGUGGGGAAGAGCAACCUAAAGGGGUCUAUAGUCUGGGCUACAAACUUUUGGCAAAGAGUGGGGCUGUUGGCCAUUCCUUGUGGGAGAACUCUCCACUGAAACCGGGGAGAAGGCCUUACACAAUUGGUAAUGGGUAUACUAAAGGCAAAACGUUUGCAAUCAUCAGGAUGCAAAGGUAUGGAGAAAAAGCAAUCUUUUAGAUCAAUUACUAAUUUGACAUACCCUUUAGGGAUGGCUAUUGGAGAGGGAAUUCCCGGUUGUAAUGCGCCCAUAGAGACCAUAGUCUUAUUAACCGCCCUGAGGUCUUGUAGGAGCCUCCACUUGCCUGAUUUCUUUUGGAUUACAAAGAUUGGGGUGUUCCAAGGGGAUGUAGAAGGUUCAAUAUGUCCAGCAGCCAGCUGUUCCUGCACUAACUCUAUGGCUGCAUUUAAUUUUGUAGUGGUAAGGGGCCAUUGAUCGAUCCAGACAGGAACAUCACUUUUCCAAGUAAUCUUGUCUGCCUGGAGUGCAGGAGGAGCAACGGCCCUUACGAAAAAUGUUUUUCAAACCCUAAACCUGAGCGGUCUAUCUUAGGCGUGGCCAGUAUCGGGUUGGGAUCUCCCUGUUUUAGUUUGCCCAACCCCUGACCAGGGAGGUAACCCUGUGAAAGCAUCUGCUGUGUUACAACUUCAUUAGGGCUACACAUGAUGACCUUCAUUUGAGAGAGGAUAUCUCUUCCCCAAAGAUUUACCGGCAACCCAGGAACUACGAAGGGUUGAAUGAAUCCGGUAUUUCCUUCUUCAUCUUCCCAGUUUAAUAACUGUGAGCUCUGUAAGGUGUUUCUUGACUGCCCAAUUCCUUGUAGAUGGGUCAAGGAAGCGUGUAAGGGCCAGCUGGAGGGCCAUGAAGCCUGAGAUAUGACCGUAGAGUCGGCCCCCGAAUCUAAAAUUCCUUCAAAUACUUUUCCUUGGAUCUUAAGUUUAAGAGUGGGGCGUUCUUUAGUAAUAGCUUGGAUCCAAUAUAAGUCUGAAGAACCUGGGGUAGAGGAGCCUCGCUGCUUAUGAAUAGCAGGGUGAGAUGUACUUAAAGGGAGGGGGAGCGCCUGCGCAAGGCGCUGACCUUUCAUAAUGCUGACAGGGCACUGGGGGGCACUAGCAAGAAUUUUUAUUUCUCCAGUAUAGUCAUUGUCAACUAAGGAAGGGUGGACAAUAAGGCCGUUUAUUGUGGUGGAAGCUCGCCCUAAAAUUAGAAAAUAAGUAUCUUUGGGAGGUGGGCCAUAAAUUCCUGUGGAAAUAAUUGUAAUUCCCUCUUCAGGCGUUAAUAUUGUUGAGGAGGAGGCACAGAGGUCAAGUCCUGCACUCCCGGGUGUGGCCCGAUAGAGGGCGGGAGUGCUACAGCUAGGCUGUUCCCCGAGGCCGGCUGAAAUGGAAUUGGCUGGGGGGCCCGGGGCUGGCCCCUCAGCUCGUUUCCCUGAAAAGGGGGGGUGAAAGGAUUUGUGGUACUGUAAAAAGGAUUUGUUGGAUUGUUACGGCACUCUUUGGCCCAGUGCCGCCCCUUAUGGCAGCGAGGGCAAAUACCGGGGACUGACCCAACUCUAGGAGGAGGAGCUGUGGUAGGGCAUUGGCGAGCGAAAUGGCCUGGCUGUCCACAUUUAAAGCAGUUACGCAUAGGCGGUGCGCCCCUGGGGAAGGAAGGAGGAUAAGAAGCCGGGGGAGUUUGAACAGCGGCACCUACAGCUAAAAGGGCUUGGACUUUGGAUGUAAAAGGAUCGACAUCUCUACACAUUCUCAGCAUUUCAUCAAAAGUUUUGUCUCGAGUCUUACCGCGGAGGACGGCUCGACAUGCCGAAUUGGCGUUUUCAUAGGCUAGCUGUUUUACAAUCUUAUCAUUGGCAGCCGCGGAACCAAGGGUCCUUUCGGCGGCCUCUAACAGUCUGCUAACAAAUUCGCUAUAGUCUUCUUGCGAGCUUUGAGUGAUCUUAGUUAGAGGAGUGUUAGCAGUCCUGGAAGCAGGAAGUGAUAUCCAAGCGCCCAAAGCGGCAUCUUUCACUUGAGAUAAAAGACCAAGGGGAAGGCGCUGCUGCCUGGUUUCAGAGAUAUAUCUGCCCUGUCCCGUAAGCUUAUCAAAAGUCUAGGACGCUGUUGGGGAAUGAGGGUCUUUUACAUUGGCAGCAGCGAUGGUCUGACAGCGGUCAGCAAAAUCUGCCUUCCAAGUUAAAAACUGACCACGGGUAAGCACAGCCUGGACUAUACGCAGCCAUUCACCUGGGAGUAAAUGUCCUCUUCGAGACAGCGAAUCAAGAACAGAAAGGGUAAAAGGGGCAUUGGGGCCAUAAGCUUUAACGGCCGCGUUCAGCUCUUUUAAGCUUUUGAAAUGGAUUUUGUGAAAUUCUCUAGGGCCAUCAGCAGGCUCGGCCGGCUCUGGCUCAGCCUGCUCCUCUCCCUCACUUUCUAUUUCCUGAGCAGCAGGGGCGUCUUCGCCGUCGCUUUCAAGAUCGCCCUCUUCCGGACUAUGUGUUGUGGAGGUGGGGCCAGAGCGGGCGGAGGCCCGGGAUGAAUUUCGGGGCCAUUAAUGAUAAACCACGGACAGACUUCAUCAACAAAAAUAAAAAACUUUACCAAGUCUUUCUUUUUAACUCGAA